UCGACUGUUUAACAAAAACAUUUUUUUUCCGUGAAGUAUGAAAAGUAAGGCCUGCCCACUGAUUUAAUUAAUAAAGGGCCGCGGUAAUUUGACCGUGCUAAGGUAGCGUAAUCAUUAGUCUCUUAAUUAGGGAAUAGUAUGAAUGGCUAAACUUAAAAGAAUUUUAUUUUUAAUAAAAAUGAAUUUUAGUGCCGCAUGAAAAUGUUUGGGUUUUGUAAAAAGACGAUAAGACCCUAUAGAGCUUAAUUUAAAUAAUUAACAGAACUCUUGGGGGAAGAGUUCUGUUAAUUAUUUAAAUUUAAUUGGGGCAAUUUUAAAAUAAAUUUAAUUUUUAAAUUCUAAAAAGACUUAAAAUUUGAAGUUAAAAAAGUUACCUUAGGGAUAACAGCGUAAUAACUUUAGAGAGCCCGUAUCGAUAAAGUUGUUUGCGACCUCGAUGUUGAAUUAAAAAUUCUUUAUGGGGCAGAAUUUAUAUAAGAUAGUCUGUUCGACUAUAAAAUUUUUACAUGAUUUGAGUUCAGACCGGA
rnacentral:rRNA from 1 species